rnacentral:rRNA from 1 species
CAACGUAGGUAAUCUACCUUUUGAGUGGGGGAAUAACUUAGGGAAACUUAAGCUAAUACCGCAUAAUGCAGCGGCAUCGCAAGAUGACAGUUGUUAAAGGAGCAAUCCGCUUAAAGAGGAGCCUGCGGCAGAUUAGGUAGUUGGUAAGGUAAUGGCUUACCAAGCCUGCGAUCUGUAGCCGACCUGAGAGGGUGGUCGGUCACACUGACACUGAAUAACGGGUCAG